rnacentral:rRNA from 1 species
ACUGAACGCUGGCGGCAGGCUUAACACAUGCAAGUCGAGCGGGGGAAGGUAGCUUGCUACCGGACCUAGCGGCGGACGGGUGAGUAAUGCUUAGGAAUCUGCCUAUUAGUGGGGGACAACAUCUCGAAAGGGAUGCUAAUACCGCAUACGUCCUACGGGAGAAAGCAGGGGAUCUUCGGACCUCGCGCUAAUAGAUGAGCCUAAGUCGGAUUAGCUAGUUGGUGGGGUAAAGGCCUACCAAGGCGACGAUCUGUAGCGGGUCUGAGAGGAGUAGCCGCCACACUGGGACUGAGAGGCGGCCCAGACUCCUACGGGAGGCAGCAGUGGGGAAUAUUGGACAAUGGGCGGAAGCCUGAUCCAGCCAUGACGCGUGUGUGAAGAAGGCCUUUUGGUUGUAAAGCACUUUAAGCGAGGAGGAGGCUACUUAGAUUAAUACUCUGGGAUAGUGGACGUUACUCGCAGAAUAAGCACCGGCUAACUCUGUGCCAGCCGCCGCCGUAA